AAGUUGAUAGUGCUGAUGUUGAUG
rnacentral:siRNA from 1 species